GUCUACGGCCAUGCCACCCUAAACAAACCCGAUCCUGUCUGAUCUCGGAAGCAAGCAGGGUCGAGCUUGGUUAGUACUAGGAUGGGAGACCAUCUAGGAAGACCGGGUGCUGUAGAUG
rnacentral:rRNA from 1 species